CCUACGGGGGGCAGCAGUGAGGAAUAUUGGUCAAUGGCCGGAAGGCUGAACCAGCCAUGCCGCGUGAAGGUCAGUGCCCUAUGGGCGUUAAACUUCUUUUGUGCGGGAGCAAUAAUGGUCACGUGUGGCCAGACGAGAGUACCGUACGAAUAAGCAUCGGCUAACUCCGUCCCAGCAGCCGCGGUAAUACGGGGGAUGCAAGCGUUAUCCGGAUUUAUUGGGUUUAAAGGGUGUGUAGGCUGUGAGGUAAGUCAGCGGUGAAAUGCCCCCGCUCAACGGGGUGAAGGGCCAUUGAUACUGCCGUGCUGGAAUGCGGAUGCCGUGGGAAGAAUGUGUGGUGUAGCGGUGAAAUGCAUAGAUAUCACACAGAACACCGAUUGCGAAGGCAUCUCACGAAUCCGCGAUUGACGCUGAUGCACGAAAGUGUGGGUAUCAAACAGGAUUAGAUACCCCUGUAGUC
rnacentral:rRNA from 1 species